rnacentral:rRNA from 1 species
AUUGAACGCUGGCGGCAUGCUUUACACAUGCAAGUCGAACGGCAGCGCGGGCUUCGGCCUGGCGGCGAGUGGCGAACGGGUGAGUAAUACAUCGGAACGUGCCCAGUAGUGGGGGAUAGCUCGGCGAAAGCCGGAUUAAUACCGCAUACGACCUGAGGGUGAAAGCGGGGGAUCUUCGGACCUCGCGCUAUUGGAGCGGCCGAUGGCAGAUUCGCUAGUUGGUGGGGUAAAGGCCUACCAAGGCGACGAUCUGUAGCUGGUCUGAGAGGACGACCAGCCACACUGGGACUGAGACACGGCCCAGACUCCUACGGGAGGCAGCAGUGGGUAAUUUUGUACAAUGGGCGAAAUCCUGAUCCAGCAAUGCCGCGUGUGUGAUGAAGGCCUUCGGGUUGUAAAGCACUUUUGGCGGGAACGAAAAGGACUGUGCCAAUACCACGGUUCGAUGACGGUACCCGCAGAAUAAGCACCGGCUAACUACGUG